rnacentral:sRNA from 1 species
CAGUGACCCUGAGCACUGCCAGAUUUGGUCAUGACUAGUCUGAGCACAGGUGUCCAUAUACUGGAGGUGGGGACUCAGGAGAGGAAAGUGAGAUGGAACCCAGGGCCCUCAGGUAACAUGAACGUCGUGGGGGCCAUAGUCAAGGUGGCAGGGUGUGGCUGUCAUAAUGGGGAGGGAAGGUGCUCGUUGCUCUCACCCUGGCUUCUCACUGGACUUGCCUCUGGGAAACUGGCCUUUGAGGAGGUGAGAAGGAGUCCUCAGGGUGAGCUCUGAGCCCUCUGAAGUCCUGCUCAUAAGUUGGGAACAUUUAUUAAAAUCCAGAUCUAUUCAACACCACUCCCUGACACUAAUCAAGUCUUCUGGGAGCUUAAACUUGAGAACGUAAAUUCGCUGGGGAGGGGCUGUGGUCACAGCUGCCAGAGUCAGAUCCUGCCGCCGCCAUCUGUACAAACAAGAAUGAACACUGUCUGGGCCACUGUGAUGGUGUCAACCUCACCUGUGAAGCCUGCCAGGAGCCGGGAGGCCUGGUGGUGCCUCCCACAGAUGGCCCGGUGAGCCCCACCACUCCGUAUGUGGAGGACAUCUCGGAACCGCCGUUGCAUGAUUUCUACUGCAGCAGGCUACUGGACCUGGUCUUCCUGCUGGAUGGCUCCUCCAGGCUGUCCGAGGCUGAGUUUGAAGUGCUGAA